rnacentral:lncRNA from 1 species
GCGAUCUCUCGCCGUAAAUUUUAAACUUGGGUGCAACUUGACAACCUCGGAUAGUGCACUCUGAAAGUGCGUCUGAGUGCAUGCAUAAUAGUGCAAUGAGUCAUCUCGCUGUUUAAAUUUCGUGAUAAUCGUUAGGAGUCAGAGAAUCGCUGUGAAUUUUUGGAACACCCCAGUUGUCGGUCAGUCUGCGAUUGUUUUGGUUUCGAUGUACUCUCACUAAAUCCCUCACUCUAACCUGGAAUCGACAUUCAGCCCCUAUUUGGAUUACCCCGGCGUCGCCCUAUCAUUGGUGAGUGAGUUUUUCAUGCAUGAAACGCUUACUAUGAAUAAAAAGCAGCGGCCUAAAUCGUAGA